CCCAAUUCAGGACACAGCCCAGCCUCCUUCCACUUGGAUUCCUCAGCCGAGAACUGUUGUUGAGUGACUAAGAAGGACAUUUCAUGCAAAUCACUGCCCCCUCCUUCACUUUGUCCUGCCACACCUCACCCCACUUUUGCCAAAUCGCUUAUAAGGACCUGAUGGGACCUUGAGUCCGCGUCUUACAUAAGGUUUACUACCUAACAAGCUUCAGGAAUUUCUUGGACAUUGUCAGAUCACUUAUGCCAAGCCUGAGGAAAGACUGUCAAGAAGAUAUUUAUUUUUUGCAUGCUUAAGUAAAGGAAGAAACCAAGACACAAACUACUCUACAGCCAGAAGAGCUGCUCUUCAGGCUGAAGACUGGGAAGGUACCAGUGGUGAAACUGAAGCAGAGAUAGUGAUUGGGUAAGUUUUGGCCAAAAAUUGCCAAAUUAGAAUAGUGAGAGUCCUCAUGUUUCUCUCCAGUGGGAGAACAGAAUCAUGACUGAGGUGUUCAGAGCUCUGAAAAAAAGUGUUGAUUCUUAGUUAUUGAAUAAGGGCAAAACCCUAUUUUUUGUUUCAACAGGCUCUUUUUUCUCCCUUCCAAGCAGGCACUACUAUAUAAUCUCUACCAAUUAGUAAAUAAUUAUUAUAUAUGAAUAAAAUAUUACUAUUUUGAAAGACUUUAAAC
rnacentral:lncRNA from 1 species